CCUUGUACUCCCAUUCCGGUGGCGGUGAGAAAGGGGUACGUAUGGGUUUUUGUUAAUCGGGAGCCGGUUGCAGCGGGAAAGGGCUCGAUCUAAGUUCUGCCGGACGGCUGGAGGCUUCGGGCAGCCUGAUUUUACUUUUUUUUUAUCCGAGCCCGGCCCGUGGGAUUAGUUACACGCUGGAGGAACUCAGUAGGCCAAGCAGCAUCAACGGAACAGAGGUCAAACCACAUUUCGGACGGAAUCAUUCGGCAAGACUUGAGAAAAAUAACUGACCAGUGGAUUUAAAAGGUUUCAAAUGACAAGGAAUUUGUUUACGGGAAUCUUGAACACAACACACCAGAUUUGCUGUCUCUGUCCACAUAUUUAAGAAGUGGAGCAAGGGAUUCACGAUCAUCUGACUAACUGGCACGGCCGUCAUUUUGCACAGGGAGGACCAUUCACCUGCUCAGACAGUGGGAAUGGAUUCACUCGGUCAUCUCAACUGAAGGUACAUCAGCAAGUUCACAUUGGGACAAGGCCAUUCACCUGUUCUGUGUGUGAGAAGGGUUUCAGUUGAUCUUCCCACUUGUGGACACACCAGUCAGUUCACACUGGGCAGGGGCUGGUCAUCUGCUGAAUUUGUGGGGAAGGAUUCACUCAGUCAUCUGACCUAAUGGCUCACCAGCGAGUUCACACCGGGAAGCGGCUGUUCACCUGUUCGGACUGUGGGAAGGGAUUCACUUUUUCAUCUAAACUGAAGAUACAUCAGCAAGUUCACACUGGGGAGAGGCCAUUCACCUGCUCGGUCUGUGGGAAGGGAUUCACUUGGUCAUCUGACCUAAUGGCUCACCAGCGAGUUCACACUGGGGAGCGACCAUUCACCUGCUCGGACUGUGGGAAGGGAUUCACUUGCUCAUCUAAACUGAAGGUACAUCAGCGCGUUCACACUGGGGAGAGGCCAUUCACCUGCUCAGUCUGUGGGAAGGGAUUCACUCGGUCAUCUGACCUAAUGGCUCACCAGCGAGUUCACACCGGGGAGCGGCCAUUCACUUGCUCGGACUGUGGGAAGGGAUUCACUUGCUCAUCUCACCUGAAGGUACAUCAGCGAGUUCACACUGGGGAGAGGCCAUUCACCUGCUCAGACUGUGGAAAGGGAUUCACUUUGUCAUCUGAUUUACUGAGACACCAGUCAGUUCACACCGGAGAGAGGCCGUUCAUCUGCUCAGUCUGUGGGAAGGGAUUCACUCGGUCAUCUUACCUAAUGGUACACCAGCGAAUUCACACUGGAGAUUGGCCGUUCUCCUGCUCGGACUGUGGGAAGGGAUUCACUUGGUCAUCUCAACUGAAGAUACAUCAGCGAGUUCACACUGGGGAGAGGCCGUUCACCUGCUCAGACUGUGGGAAGGGAUUCACUCUGUCAUCUCAUCUGAAGGAACAUCAGCGAGUUCACACUGGAGAGAGGCCGUUCACCUGCUCAGUCUGUGGGAAGGGAUUCACUUCGUCAACUCCACUGAAGGUACAUCAGCGAGUUCACACCGGUGAGAGGCCAUUCAUCUGCUCGGAUUGUGGGAAGGGAUUCAUUUUGUCAUCUGAUUUACUGAGACACCAGUCAGUUCACACCGGAGAGAGGCCAUUCAACUGCUCAGACUGUGGGAAGGGAUUCACAUCGUCAUCUAAACUGAAGGUACACCAGCGAGUUCACACUGGGGAGAGGCAAUCACCUGCUUAGUCUGUGGGAAGGGAAGUACUUGCUCAUCUAAACUGAAGGUUCAUCAACAAGUUCACACAGGGGAGAGGCUGAACAUCUGCUCAGACUUUGAUAAGAGAUUCUCUCAGCCAAAUGUACAUCAUUGUGUUCACACUUGGGAGAGCAUAUUCACCUGCUGUGAAUGUGGGAAGAUUCACUCAGUUAUUUAACCAUAUGUAACUCUCACUUCGGUUAACAGCUGAAUAUAAGGGGUGAUAGCCCCCCACCCCAAGCCCAAUCAAACUUAAGAAAUUUCAUUUGGGUAGAUGCUGCGCGAUGUGUCCCCUGUUACAAUUCAGUACCCCAAAAUAAAAAACAGUAUGCAAUAUCUGAUUAAACGAUGGAGAUUUGUAAUUCUUACUUUGAUUGCAGGGUUAGUAAAGAAAACAAACAAAAAGGGCUCACUCUAUCCGUUGACAUUUUCUCAUCUCUCACCAGCAAAAGACCAUGAAAAUCUCUCUUCCAGACUCACAAGGAAGAACAUUUCUCUCAUUGGAUAGUCCCGCACUCCAAAACCCUGUUAUCUCUGGUCGUAACCUAAAACUUGCUGCUAAAGAGAAACCAUUACCUCAGUUGUGACACACUACCGGGUUCACACUGGGGAGAAAGUUUCAAUCAGCUGGAUAUUUGUUCAUCACCGUUGCUGAAUACUGUUUCAAGAGUGACUGUCGGUGCUGAACUCUGCAAUUAUUGGUGCUGCUCACCACACACAGUUCUGCACCCUGGUCACUGGGCACGGGAGGAGUUUCUUCUGCUGUACAUUCACCUUUAAUGGGACUGGAGUUCAAUAUUCUGCAUCUGAGACAGAUAAAUCAGUUUUAUUUCAAACUCUGUCUCUGGUACUUAGUGAAUUUAUAACACACCUAGUGUACAGUAGAGAGUCAACUCAGGCCGGCUGGACCCUGCCAGUGAAUCUGUUCCAUGACGGUCCUUUUAAAUCCUCCUCCAUUGUUCCCCUCUCGCUCUCCCUGUGGUGAUGGGUUCCAAACAGUCAGCACUCUGUGGGUGAAGAGGUUUCCUUAGAAUUUUCUGAAGACUGAAGAAGUCAAGUUGACUCCUGUUCUGUCUGAGAUGUUCUUCACCCCUCAAAUCUCUGGGCUGAGGAAGAAUGACACUGGGAGUUAACCUCCUUAUUCAGGGCUCAUUUCCAUUUUCUGGGUCAUUUUCUCUGCUUCUAAACAGUUGUUACAAAACACCCCUGUCCUCUAAAGACUGAAAACAGAAUGGGAAACCAGCAGUUGGAUGUUCAACGGAGCAGAGUCAGAAACCAGAGGCGGGUCUGCACAGGGCAGAGUUUGGGGCUCUGGACGAUGGUCGGGGUAAGAACGUAUGAUGAGGAGAAGGGAAUCAGCAGCGGGGCGUGGCAAUGACUGUCAGGGUAGCAACAUUUGGAAGCUGAUUGACAGACACAGUCUUUCAUUUGUCUGACUUAUGACACAAACAAUACCUGUGGUGAGCUGCUCCACUGGUCGAGGAACAUGUGUGUGUUGGGAAUGGUUUUAUCUACUGAGGGAUUUGUUCUUGCUUCUUCAUCCUGUAAUAUUAUUUUCGGAUGUUUAGAUUAUCCUAUCUAUAAUAAUAUAUUGAUUAUCAUAUAAAUUGUGAAAUUCUGCCCCUAACUGGAUCAGGCUUGAAUUUCAGGUACCUUAAUGAAGUUACGGUGGUUAUUCAUGAGUUUGUAUUUUAAAGCAAGAUUUUAGUGAAUGAUAUUUGCCACUCGAUUGUGUUUCGUUUACUGUGGACUGUCGCUUUCAGCGCCUCAGUGAGGUGGGACGAUGACGUCAGUCACAGGCUGGAGCAGCUCACUUCUGAUUUUUAUAGAGAGAGAGACCUUCAGUUAGGGGAGAGCGAGACUGCGAAGCUGCUGACUUCAGUUUGUCAAUGUUUGGGAAUCUCCUAUGCCCAAAAGAUUGGGUUAAACAUAGGCAUGAAAUGCACAUUGGUGGGAGGUUAGAGGAUUGGAAAGCUUUUACAUAACCAACAGGGGACAUCUGAAAAAAAUACACACAGGCGAGACAAGAUGAAAAAUUAAGCUGUGCGGACCAGCGAUUCAUCUGGGCAGGAAAUGUUCACGUUGCUUUAAAACUGUCUCACUUUAAAUUGACAGUAGUUAAAAGAAAAUCCCAGCUGCAAAUCAACAAAGGCUAUUUGUGUGAGAGUGUUUCAGUUACUAUGGGGCCAGGAACCCAUGCAGCUCAGUGGGGACAGGGAAUAAUACCAAUGGAGAGAGUCAAUCUGAGCACAGGUUGGAGACUGGAGAAAUGCCUCAUUCUUGGAGAGACAGGAAGAGCAUCAGAGAGUUUCAUGGUUAUUCCAGAUGCCAGCAUGUGCCCAGUUAGAAGAUGAUGACUCUCUCCACUUUGGGUUGAACCUCACUCGAUCAUCUAACCGACUGGCACACCACUCAGUUUACACGGGGAGAGGCCGUUCACCUUUUUCAGUCUAUGAGGAUUCAAGGUCAUCUCGUGAAGGUACAUCAGCAAGUUCACACCAGAAAAGGCCAUUCAGCAGGGAGGAUGCUGCUGGUCUUCCCACCUGUGGACACACCAGUCAGAGACAGGUCAUCUGCUGAAUUUGUGGGGAAGGAUUCACUCAGUCAUCGGACCUAAUGUCUCACUAGCGAGUUCCCAGCAGGGAACGGCCGCUCACCUGCUCAGACUGUGGGCAGGGAUUCACUUCGUCACCUCAGUUACUGAGAUACCAGUCAGUUCACACUGAAGAGUCCACACAGGGAAAUGGCGGUUCAUCUGCACAGUCUGUGGGAGGGGAUUCGCUCAGUUAUCUGAACUGAAGGUAUAUCAGUGAGUUCACAUGGGGGAGAGGUCGUUCAUCUGCUCAGUCUGUGGGAAGGGAUUCACUGAAUCAUCCUCCCUGCAGAGACACCAGUCAGUUCACACUGGGAAGUGGCUGUUCACCUGCUCAGACUGUGUGAAGGGAUUCUCACCUGCUGAGAGACCAGUCAGCCCACACAGGGAAAGGGCCGUCCAUUUGCUAAUUCUGUGGGAAGGGAUUCACUUCGUCAUAUCGUCUACAGAAACACCAGUCAUCCCACACAGGGAAAUAACCGUUCGCCUACUUAGUCUGUGGGAAGGAAUUCACUCAUUCAUCUCAAAUGAAGGUACAUCAGCCAGUUCACACUGGGGAGAGGUCACUCACUUGCUCAGACUUUGGAAAGAGAUUCUCUCAGCCAAAUCAACCAAAUGUGCAUCAUUGAGUCAAUACUGGGGAGUGCCGUUCACAUGCUGUGAAUGUGGUAAAGGAUUCAUUAAGUUAUCUAUCCUUAUGACCCACUACCAGGUUCACACUGGGGAGAGGUUGCUCACCUGUUCUGAAUGUGGGAAGCGAUUGACUCCGUCAUCUAACCUUAUGUAACUCCAGCUUUGGCUAGCAGCUUAAUAUAGAGGGUGAUAGCCCCCGAGCCCGGCCAAACUUAAGAAAUCUCGUUUGGGUGGAUGCUGUGUGAUGUGUCCCCUGUUACAAAUCAGUACCACGUAAUAACAAACAGUAUGCAAUACGUGAUAAAACGACUGAGCUUUAUAUUUCUUACUUUGAAUAUAGGGUUUAUGAAGUAAUAAAAAAAAACAAAAGGGCUCACUCUCUCUUUUCGCAUCUUCUCAUCUCUCCCCAGCAAAAGACCACGAAUAUCUCUCUUCCAGACUUACAAGAGAGUAUAUUUCUCUCAUUGGAUAGCCCCAAACUGCAAAACCCUGUUAUCUCUGGUCGUAACCUAAACAUUGCUGCUUUAGAGAAAGCAUUAGCUCAGCAAUGAAACAUAACAGAGAGGACAUUACAUGAUCAGUGAAACCGUACAGCGUGUUAUACUUAUGACACACUACCGGGUUCACACCGGGGAGAAGGUUUCAAUAAGUUGCAUUCUGGAUAUUUGUCCAUCACCGUUGCUGAAUGCAAUUUCUAGAGUGACUGUCGGUGCUUAACUCUGCAGUUAUUGCUGCUGCUCACCACACCCAGUUCUGCACCCUGGUCACUGGGCAUGGGAGGAGUUUCUUCUGCUGCACCUUCACCUUUAAUGGGAUUGGAGUUUAAUAUUCUGGAUCUGAGACAAAUACUUCAGUUCUUUUUCAAAAUGCUGGUGGAAAACAGCAGGCCAGGCAGCAUUUAUAGGGAGAAGCACUGUCGACUUUUCGGCUGAGACCUUUCGUCAGGGUCCUGAAAUGGCCCGAAACGUCGACAGUGCUUCUCCCUAUAAAUGCUGCCUGGUCUGUUGUGUUGAACCAUCAUUUUGUGUGUGUUGCUUGAAUUUCCAGCAUCUGCAGAUUUCCUCGUGUUUGAGUUCUAUUUCAAACUCUGUCUCUGGUACUUAGUGAAUUUAUAACACACCUAGUGUAAAGCGAAGAGUCAGCUCAGGCCAGCUGGACCUUGCCAGUGAUUCAGUUCCAUGACAGUCUUUUUAAAUCCUCCUCUGUUGUUCGCCUCGCGCACUCCCUUUGGUGACGUGUUCCAAACAGUCACCACUCUGUGGGUGAAGAGGUUUCCCUUGAAUUCUCUGCAGACUGAAGAAGUUGAGCUGACUGCAGUUCUGUCUGAGAUGUUCUUCGCCCCUCUAAUUUCUGGGCUGAGGAAGAAUGAGAUUGGUAGUUAACCUCCCUAAUUACGACUCAUUUCCACAUUGUGGGUCACUUUCCCUGCUUCUAAAGUGUUGUUAGAAAAUACCCCUGUCCUCUAAAGACUGAAAGCAGAAUGGGAAACCAUUUGUUGGAUGUUCAAUGGAGCAGGGUCAGAAACCACAGGCGGGUCCACACAGGUCAGAGUUUGGGGCUCUGAACAAUGGUCGGGGUAAGAACGGAUGAUGAGGAGAAGGGAAUCAGCAGCGGGGCGUCGCAACGAAUGACAGAGUAGCAACAUUUGGAAGAUGAUUGACAGAGAAAAUGUUUCGGUUUUCUGACUGAUGAUACAAUCAUUACCUGUGGUGAGGUGCUCCACUGGUCGAAGAAUAUGUGUGUGUUGGGAAUGGUUUUCUCUAUUGAGGGAGUUGUUCCUGCUUCUUUAUCUUGUAAUAGGAAACCUGAUUGGUUAUUAUGGAUUAUCCUAUUUGAAAUAUGCAUUGAUUAUCAUAUAAUUUGUAAAAUUUUGACUCUAAAACUGGAUCAGCCUUGAACUUAUGGUCCCUUUAUGAAGUGAUGGAGGGCAUUCAUGAGUUUCUAUUUUAAAGCAAGAUGUUGGUGAAUGAUACCUGCCACUUGAUUGUACCUGUGUAAGUAUUCAGAUUGAGUUAAACUGCUGCAGGAUCCUGGAAUGUGUUGGAUUGUGUCAGGUUUCUCUCAUCAUUUCUGCAAGGAACCCCUCUGUUUCUGGGAGAGGUCUCCAAAUCACAGUCAGGUGCUCGUUGAUUCCUUGUCAACAUCUAGUCUGCUCAGAUCGUUGGGAUGUCUCCCAUGGAGGGUCAUACUCAUUCCACUAGUUAAUAAUUUCUUCCAGAGUGAUGAUUCAAUUUUUCUGAAUUGGCCUCUCAUUUAAGAUUUCUGCUCUGUAUUUCGUAUUACUAUUGCAUAUACACACACGGAGUUUUGAAUCCUGUUCAUUUUUGAUUGAAAUAUACACUGAAAACUUU